UCCUGACUGACCGAUAGUGAACCAGUACCGUGAGGGAAAGGCGAAAAGAACCCCGGCGAGGGGAGUGAAAAAGAACCUGAAACCGUGUACGUACAAGCAGUGGGAGCACGCUUAGGCGUGUGACUGCGUACCUUUUGUAUAAUGGGUCAGCGACUUAUAUUCUGUAGCAAGGUUAACCGAAUAGGGGAGCCGAAGGGAAACCGAGUCUUAACUGGGCGUUAAGUUGCAGGGUAUAGACCCGAAACCCGGUGAUCUAGCCAUGGGCAGGUUGAAGGUUGGGUAACACUAACUGGAGGACCGAACCGACUAAUGUUGAAAAAUUAGCGGAUGACUUGUGGCUGGGGGUGAAAGGCCAAUCAAACCGGGAGAUAGCUGGUUCUCCCCGAAAGCUAUUUAGGUAGCGCCUCGUGAAUUCAUCUCCGGGGGUAGAGCACUGUUUCGGCAAGGGGGUCAUCCCGACUUACCAACCCGAUGCAAACUGCGAAUACCGGAGAAUGUUAUCACGGGAGACACACGGCGGGUGCUAACGUCCGUCGUGAAGAGGGAAACAACCCAGACCGCCAGCUAAGGUCCCAAAGUCAUGGUUAAGUGGGAAACGAUGUGGGAAGGCCCAGACAGCCAGGAUGUUGGCUUAGAAGCAGCCAUCAUUUAAAGAAAGCGUAAUAGCUCACUGGUCGAGUCGGCCUGCGCGGAAGAUGUAACGGGGCUAAACCAUGCACCGAAGCUGCGGCAGCGACGCUUAUGCGUUGUUGGGUAGGGGAGCGUUCUGUAAGCCUGCGAAGGUGUGCUGUGAGGCAUGCUGGAGGUAUCAGAAGUGCGAAUGCUGACAUAAGUAACGAUAAAGCGGGUGAAAAGCCCGCUCGCCGGAAGACCAAGGGUUCCUGUCCAA
rnacentral:rRNA from 1 species